GCCCGUGUCAAAAGCACCCAGAAUGUAGCUGAUCUUGUCAAAUCUCGGAAGCUUGGCAGUAUUGAGCCUGGAUAGUGCUUGGAUGGGCGAUCACCAUGCAUAACAGGCUGCUGAGGGGC
rnacentral:rRNA from 1 species